GAAUGAAUUCCAAAUACGCAUUUUUGUUGACGUUAAAAGGAAGGCUUGAAAGUUAUUUGAUCUUUGCUUGAACAUUUCUCAUUUUCGUCCCUAAAGUACCCUUUUUAAAACUAGAAAAAUUGCUUUACAUAGAAGAAAGACCAGAGAGUUUCGUGUUGUUGGACGUUGUGAAAGAUGGCCAUCGCGAGGCUCUUUUUCUUGGUGUCUUUAAUUUGCCUGUUUUCAGGUAAUGUGGCGCUUAAAUGCCACCAGUGUGGUGGAUUAAGCUUAGAGAAGUGCAUAAAGUUUUCAGGCACGUGUCGAACCGAGCAGAAUCGGUGUCUCACCUUCAUGAUGGAAGGUGGGAAGAGUGGAAAAAUUUACUAUAAGAGAUGUGGUCGAAAGAAUGAAUGCGGCAAAGACAACCUUAAAAGAAUAUGUAAGAGCAAGGCAGGAUUCCACAAAUCUCCCUUUUGCAGAUCCGCAUGCUGCAAUGUCAACAACUGCAAUCAAGGUGGAAGACUUUUAUUUUCAUGGUUAACAUAAUUCCUGCAAUACCUUUUUUCAUGAAAAUUUUGUUUGCCUAAGCAUUUGGUGAAUGUUAACAUAUUGAAAGUAAUCAUUUAAAGUUUCCUCAUACUUAUCCAUUGAAAGAAAUUUGUAAUCAAGCUCAUGGUAUUUGAGCAAUAUCUGGUCACCAACAAGGGCAAAUGGCAAGUCAAAGGAUUUUAUUUUUUGUGUAUGGUAGUUUUUUUUUCAUUAGAAUAAUAGUUCACCAUAAUGAAUUGCCAUCAAUUAGCUGGCAUUUUUAGGUAAUGAUGUUAUUUCAGGGUUAUUCAAAAAAAUAUUUGUGAAUAUUUUCUUUUUUUGUAAUUAUAUUAUGAACAAAGAUCAAUAUUUGUGUUAUGUCAA